AAAUGUUAAUUUGUAUUACAUAAUAGAAAUUUGAGUUUUUUGGCUCUGGGGAUAGUAUGAUCGCAAGAUUGAAAAUUAAAGAAAUUGACGGAAGAAUACCACAAGGAGUGGAUUGUGCGGCUUAAUUUGACUCAACGCGAGGUAACUUACCAAUAUUUUAUUAUUUUGAGAGAACGGUUUUUUGUUUGAGAAUGAUAAUAGUGGUGCAUGGC
rnacentral:rRNA from 1 species